AUGAAAAGAACUCCCGAUUCCGAUUAUUGCUCAAAGACUUUCUUUCCUUCUGUUACUGGGGCUGCCGCGGUCCGGGGCACCACUGUUUCUUGCGCGGGCCUCGGAGGGAGCCCGCUGAUGCUCUCCCUCGUAGCGUCACAGUCCACAUGUUCUGCACGUGUCGUCAGAAUGAUUAUACAGCAAAAUGCCGACUUGAGGACGACUCCCUUGCCUUCCCCAUUGAACACCCUGACGGCUCUUGUGACUUUCAAACUAGCGACCAUCCCUUUGCCGAGCGUGGGCCCACUUCCUGCUCUGACUUCACUCCACUCUGCCAGUCCUGUCUCCCAUCUGCUGCCACACCCUCUGUCAGAGUGUCCUGAGUGGUGAGGGCCUCCCGACCCUCUGUCUUCGAUGCUUUCACUCUAAUGAAUGAAGAAGUGGGUGAGGCUGGCUCAGUGCCAUGGUGGAAAAUGGGGAUGACAAGGUCCAAUGCAGCGCGAGAAAGUCAGAAAAUGAAAGUAAUGUGAAGCAAAGAUUUACUUAAGAUAUUGUGGAUGCCAGGGAAAAGCUAUCGUACAGCAAGGUAGGGGCCUCACCUAAGGUAAAUGGAUACAUUUAACAACAUAUAGAAAGGUGUGAGAGGAGAGAAAUGAUUUCAAGUGGAAUUUAUAAUUAAAAUCAAGCAGAAAGAUUUGGAAAAUUCACAGCCUGGCCAUAUAAAGAGUGAAAAGGUAUCUUCAGGAGAGCAAACCAAGGGUGUGAAUCCUAGUGCCCCUUAGACAAAGGAUCAGCUCAGACAGAAGGAAGCC
rnacentral:lncRNA from 1 species